UACGAAGGGGGCUAGCGUUGCUCGGAAUCACUGGGCGUAAAGGGUGCGUAGGCGGCCAUUCAAGUCGGAGGUGAAAGCCCAGGGCUCAACCCUGGAAUUGCCUUCGAUACUGUCUGGCUAGAGACCGGAAGAGGUAAGUGGAACUGCGAGUGUAGAGGUGAAAUUCGUAGAUAUUCGCAAGAACACCAGUGGCGAAGGCGGCUUACUGGUCCGGUUCUGACGCUGAGGCGCGAAAGCGUGGGGAGCAAACAGG
rnacentral:rRNA from 1 species